CCUACGGGAGGCAGCAGUGGGGAAUUUUGGACAAUGGGCGCAAGCCUGAUCCAGCAAUGCCGCGUGCAGGAUGAAGGCCUUCGGGUUGUAAACUGCUUUUGUACGGAACGAAACGGCUUCUCCUAAUACGAGAGGCUAAUGACGGUACCGUAAGAAUAAGCACCGGCUAACUACGUGCCAGCAGCCGCGGUAAUACGUAGGGUGCAAGCGUUAAUCGGAAUUACUGGGCGUAAAGCGUGCGCAGGCGGUUAUAUAAGACAGAUGUGAAAUCCCCGGGCUCAACCUGGGACCUGCAUUUGUGACUGUAUAGCUAGAGUACGGUAGAGGGGGAUGGAAUUCCGCGUGUAGCAGUGAAAUGCGUAGAUAUGCGGAGGAACACCGAUGGCGAAGGCAAUCCCCUGGACCUGUACUGACGCUCAUGCACGAAAGCGUGGGGAGCAAACAGGAUUAGAUACCCUGGUAGUCCACGCCCUAAACGAUGUCAACUGGUUGUUGGGUCUUCACUGACUCAGUAACGAAGCUAACGCGUGAAGUUGACCGCCUGGGGAGUACGGCCGCAAGGUUGAAACUCAAAUGAAAUUGACGGCNGAGAGNGCGAGGACGACACGAGGGAGGAGG
rnacentral:rRNA from 1 species